ensembl:lncRNA
UUUCCAGGAUGAGUAUGGAGACAAACAAGGCAUGAGGCACCCUGGAGAAAUCGUGUGUCCAUCAGCAUCUCUCUUCGGCCCAUUCUGGCUCCAGGUGGUCAUGUGUGGCUCAGGGUGCGAGUCCUCUGCUUCCCUGGCGGGAGUGUCCUCCGAGUGGCCCCCCGCACAGCCAGGGGGCGCUGUGGGUCUCGGGGGAGUUGUCCCCUUAGGGGUGGAUUUCCGCCCGAGCUUCCGCCUGUUGCUCCUGCUCGGCUCCUCUGUGGCAGUUGGCCCGUCUGCUCCUGUCCCCAGCACCGCUCUUCCCUUCCCUUCACUCUGCUGGGCUCCUCGGUUCCUUCGUGUCUUUUCUCCUCAUCAGCCUACAAGCUCCGAGUUCCGAAGGGGCCGGGCUGGGUCUUCUAACUCCCGGCCUGGCCCACAGGACAUGCUGGAGCAGCCGGUGGAGCCGUGCGGAGGGCCUGCUCAGGUGAGGAGGGCAAGGCAGCCUUCUGGGUGGAUGUCCUGGGUGGAGGUGGCGACCUUGAUUGGUGCAGAAAACGGCUACCAUUGUGUUUAUUGUAUGCAUUUUCUGGAAGGGUGUAAGUGUGGGAGUGACUUCAUUCAUGCCAGUUGGGGGUAGCUUGGCAGGUCAGGAGAGGCCCAGGGGACAGCCCCUACUCUCCUGUGAAAACACGUCCCCCUUGGAGCUGAGCUCCCACCAGCCCCCGAGUCAUGUCUGAUCACAGCCCAGAUUGGGCAGAGCAGAAUCUGGCUGAUCCUUGUGCUCAGGACCUUCAGAGGAAGAGAGAGGGCUGAGUGGGUAGCCCCAGCCCCACCCCAACUGGUUUCAAAAGGACAUGUCUGAUUUAUAAUGCGAGUUGAGGGUCCAGGUGACUGAAGACAGAGAUCCGUAAAACCACAAAUCAGAAAGGGACAGGAUCAGUGUAAGACAAUUUGUGGCGCGUUAGCACAGAGUCGGGGCUAGCAUCCAGGUUCUCGGAUGUCCAGCUCAGAUACUCUCCAUCGUCUUUUGAUUCCUCCAGCCCUUUCAUCCUUGUGAUUCCCUUCCUAGUGAGUGUGGGUUGGGUGGAUGGAGGUCCAGGAGAACAGAUUCUCAAGGAAGCUCCUGGUGACAGAGGCCGGGAGUCAAGCCGCCGAGGCUUGUAGAGAUGGAGUGAUUCCCAUGGGCCACAGAUGGGGACCCCCGUUAUUCAGCCUCACAGUGUUUUAGUUCAGUUCCAGCAACUAUGUAGGGGGAGGGGUGGGAGCUUGGAGCCAGAGGAGUAAGGAGGUUGAUCUUGUUUCUUUGCUGUCUUUUUAGGGCCGCACCCGCAGCCUAUGGAAGUUCCCAGCCUAGAGGUCGAGUUGAAUCAGAGUGUACCUUCAGCCUACACCACAGCAAUGCCAGAUCCAAGCCAUGUCUGGGACUUACACUGCAGCUCAUGGCCACACCGGAUCUUUAACCCACUGAGGGAGGCCAGGGAUCGCCGUGUCCUCAUGGAUAUUAGUUGGGUUCGUUACCGCUGCGCCACCACGAGAACUCCAGGAGGCUGAUCUUGUGUUUCAGCAGCAUCACCCCACAGUGGUUGGAGCAGUGCGAAGCAAGGGGCUCUUGUAGGAACCUGGCUGAGGGAAGGCAG